UACGUAGGGGGCAAGCGUUGUCCGGAUUCAUUGGGCGUAAAGAGCGUGUAGGCGGCCAGGUAGGUCGGUUGUGAAAACUGGAGGCUCAACCUUCAGAGGUCGACCGAAACCAUCUGGCUAGAGUCCGGGAGAGGAGAGUGGAAUUCCUGGUGUAGCGGUGGAAUGCGCAGAUAUCAGGAGGAACACCGGUGGCGAAGGCGGAUCUCUGGGCCUUACCUGACGCUGAGGUGCGAAAGCUAGGGGAGCGAACAGG
rnacentral:rRNA from 1 species